rnacentral:rRNA from 1 species
GACGAACCGAGCGAACGUUGUUCGGAAUCACUGGGCUUAAAGGGCGCGUAGGCGGACUGCCGCGUCCGGGGUGAAAUCCCACGGCUCAACCGUGGAACGGCCCCGGAUACGGGCGGUCUCGAGGGGGGUAGGGGCACCUGGAACUGUGGGUGGAGCGGUGAAAUGCGUUGAUAUCCACAGGAACUCCGGUGGCGAAGGCGAGGUGCUGGACCCCUACUGACGCUGAGGCGCGAAAGCCAGGGGAGCGAGCGGG